rnacentral:rRNA from 1 species
AACGAACGCUGGCGGCACGUUUUAAGCAUGCAAGUCGAAUGGCAGUGGGGGCAACCCCAUGAGAAUGGCGAACGGGUGAGUAACACGUAGGUGAUCUGCCUGACGGAUGGGGAUAGCUUGUGGAAACACAGGGUAAUACCGACUGAGCUGACGAGACUUUGGUUUUGUUAGUAAAGGUGCUACGGCACCGCCGACAGAGGAGCCUGCGGCUGAUUAGCUAGUUGGUGGGGUAAAGGCCUACCAAGGCGACGACCAGUAGCCGGCCUGAGAGGGUGUACGGCCACACUGGAACUGAGACGCGGUCCAGACUCCUACGGGAGGCAGCAGCUAAGAAUCUUCCGCAAUGGGCGAAAGCCUGACGGAGCGAUGCCGCGUGAUCGAUGAAGGUCGAGAGAUUGUAAAGAUCUUUUCUACAUGAGGAAUAAGUCUGGGAGGGAAUGCCUGGAUGAUGACGUUAGUGUAGGAAUAAGCCCCGGCUAAUUACGUGCCAGCCGCCGCGGUAA